rnacentral:lncRNA from 1 species
GGGGAAAAAAACAGCAGAGGAAGUAUGGGGAUAAACACACUAACAUGAUGUCAUUCAAGAUGAGGCCUGCCUAUUUGCUUUUAGCUGCUCACACCCAAAUUGAUCAAAGACAUUGAACAGUACCAGGUUCAUUGGCUUUGCUCAGGCUUGAAGCCGAGUGGAGUUGCUCAGGGGUGGCCAUUAGUCUGGUCCUUGCCGCUUCACUGCAUGCCGGGCAGCUUGGGUGGCUAUCCCCAUGUGUGGUUUUAACACAUGUGGACCGAUGGGCUUCUGUCUCAGUAGUCUGCUCGCAUGGUGUGUUGACUGUUUCUUCUCUCUGUGUAGCUUUGGUGUGAAGCUUAUGGACUUCCAGGCCCACCGGCGGGGUGGCACUCUAAAUAGAAAGCACAUAUCCCCCGCUUUCCAGCCGCCACUUCCGCCCACAGAUGGCAGCACCGUGGUGCCCGCUGGCCCAGAGCCCCCUCCCCAGAGCUCUAGGGCUGAAAGCAGCUCUGGGGGUGGGACUGUCCCCUCUUCCGCGGGCAUACUGGAGCAGGGGCCGAGCCCAGGCGACGGCAGUCCUCCCAAACCGAAGGACCCUGUAUCUGCAGCUGUGCCAGCACCAGGGAGAAACAACAGUCAGAUAGCAUCUGGCCAAAAUCAGCCCCAGGCAGCUGCUGGCUCCCACCAGCUCUCCAUGGGCCAACCUCACAAUGCUGCAGGGCCCAGCCCGCAUACACUGCGCCGAGCUGUUAAAAAACCCGCUCCAGCACCCCCGAAACCGGGCAACCCACCUCCUGGCCACCCCGGGGGCCAGAGUUCUUCAGGAACAUCUCAGCAUCCACCCAGUCUGUCACCAAAGCCACCCACCCGAAGCCCCUCUCCUCCCACCCAGCACACGGGCCAGCCUCCAGGCCAGCCCUCCGCCCCCUCCCAGCUCUCAGCACCCCGGAGGUACUCCAGCAGCUUGUCUCCAAUCCAAGCUCCCAAUCACCCACCGCCGCAGCCCCCUACGCAGGCCACGCCACUGAUGCACACCAAACCCAAUAGCCAGGGCCCUCCCAACCCCAUGGCAUUGCCCAGUGAGCAUGGACUUGAGCAGCCAUCUCACACCCCUCCCCAGACUCCAACGCCCCCCAGUACUCCGCCCCUAGGAAAACAGAACCCCAGUCUGCCAGCUCCUCAGACCCUGGCAGGGGGUAACCCUGAAACUGCACAGCCACAUGCUGGAACCUUACCGAGACCGAGACCAGUACCAAAGCCAAGGAACCGGCCCAGCGUGCCCCCACCCCCCCAACCUCCUGGUGUCCACUCAGCUGGGGACAGCAGCCUCACCAACACAGCACCAACAGCUUCCAAGAUAGUAACAGACUCCAAUUCCAGGGUUUCAGAACCGCAUCGCAGCAUCUUUCCUGAAAUGCACUCAGACUCAGCCAGCAAAGACGUGCCUGGCCGCAUCCUGCUGGAUAUAGACAAUGAUACCGAGAGCACUGCCCUGUGAAGAAAGCCCUUUCCCAGCCCUCCACCACUUCCACCCUGGCGAGUGGAGCAGGGGCAGGCGAACCUCUUUCUUUGCAGACCGAACAGUGAAAAGCUUUCAGUGGAGGACAAAGGAGGGCCUCACUGUGCGGGACCUGGCCUUCUGCACGGCCCAAGGAGAACCUGGAGGCCACCACUAAAGCUGAAUGACCUGUGUCUUGAAGAAGUUGGCUUUCUUUACAUGGGAAGGAAAUCAUGCCAAAAAAAUCCAAAACAAAGAAGUACCUGGAGUGGAGAGAGUAUUCCUGCUGAAACGCGCAUAGGAAGCUUUUGUCCCUGCUGUUAAUGCGGGCAGCACCUACAGCAACUUGGAAUGAGUAAGAAGCAGUGCGUUAACUAUCUAUUUAAUAAAAUGCGCUCAUUAUGCAAGUCGCCUACUCUCUGCUACCUGGACGUUCAUUCUUAUGUAUUAGGAGGGAGGCUGCGCUCCUUCAGACUUGCUGCAGAAUCAUUUUGUAUCAUGUAUGGUCUGUGUCUCCCCAGUCCCCUCAGAACCAUGCCCAUGGAUGGUGACUGCUGGCUCUGUCACCUCAUCAAACUGGAUGUGACCCAUGCCGCCUCGUUGGAUUGUCGGAAUGUAGACAGAAAUGUACUGUUCUUUUUUUUUUUUUUAAACAAUGUAAUUGCUACUUGAUAAGGACCGAACAUUAUUCUAGUUUCAUGUUUAAUUUGAAUUAAAUAUAUUCUGUGGUUUA